rfam:Anaerocolumna jejuensis DSM 15929 genome assembly, contig: EJ31DRAFT_scaffold00012.12
GGAAAACCAGCUCUGUACAAUUCAAACCGAUGAAACGUUGUACAGAGC